rnacentral:rRNA from 1 species
AAGGAAUAUUGCUCAAUGGGAGAAAUCCUGAAGCAGCAACGCCGCGUGGAGGAUGAAGGGUCUAUGACUUGUAAACUCCUGUAAAGAAGGAAAAAAUUCCCAUUUGAUGGGAGAUGAUGGUACUUCUGGAGUAAGCCCCGGCUAACUACGUGCCAGCAGCCGCGGUAAUACGUAGGGGGCAAGCGUUGUCCGGAUUUACUGGGUGUAAAGGGUGCUCAGGCGGAUUUGUAAGUCAGAGGUGAAAUCUUACAGCUUAACUGUGAAACUGCCUUUGAUACUGCAAGCCUAGAGUAUGGAAGAGAGUGAUGGAAUAUCUGGUGUAGCAGUGAAAUGCGUAGAUAUCAGAUAGAACACCAAUGGCGAAGGCAGUCACCUGGUCCAUUACUGACGCUAAAGCACGAAAGCGUGGGUAGCAAAC